GUGGGGAAUAUUGGACAAUGGGCGAAAGCCUGAUCCAGCCAUGCCGCGUGUGUGAAGAAGGUCUUCGGAUUGUAAAGCACUUUAAGUUGGGAGGAAGGGCAGUAAGUUAAUACCUUGCUGUUUUGACGUUACCGACAGAAUAAGCACCGGCUAACUCCGUGCCAGCAGCCGCGGUAAUACGAAGGGUGCAAGCGUUAAUCGGAAUCACUGGGCGUAAAGAGCGCGUAGGUGGUUUUGUAAGUUGGAGGUGAAAUCCCCGGGCUCAACCUGGGAACUGCCUCCAAAACUGCAUGACUAGAAUACGGUAGAGGGUAGUGGAAUUUCCUGUGUAGCGGUGAAAUGCGUAGAUAUAGGAAGGAACACCAGUGGCGAAGGCGACUACCUGGACUGAUACUGACACUGAGGUGCGAAAGCGUGGGGAGCAAACAGGAUUAGAUACCCCAGUAGUCC
rnacentral:rRNA from 1 species